rnacentral:tRNA from 1 species
GAGGGCAUAGCUCAGUGUUAGAGUGCAUGCCUAGCAUGCAUGAGGUCCUGGGUUCAAUCCCCAGUAGCUCCA